CUUAGACCUGAGUUUGCUGAAACCAUUGAAAAAAUAAUUUCACUUGAUAGUCAAAUGGACUCCACAUCCAGUGUUAAUAUAAAAGAAGAUGCUGUUAGUCAAGUGUUGGGAGUAGACAAACCUGGACGAGUCAGAGGGUUGGGAAGAGGGAUUACUGCUACGAAACUAGCAUUCUUGUCAGCUAGAGACUCCAAACUUGCCGACUUGGAAAGCGAGAUUAAAGACUUGAAGAUUCUGGUCCGUGACUUAGCUGGAAAUAAGAAAAACAAUGAUGAUUGUGUUUCUCCAUCUGAGGCUAGUUAUGUAUACAAA